UCCUCUGGCUUCACCCUAUUCAAGCAUAGUUCACCAUCUUUCGGGUCCCAACAGCUAUGCUCUUACUCAAAUCCUUCCGAAGACAUCAGGAUCGGUCGAUGGUGCACCUAAAAGGUUCCCACCUCCGUUCACUUUCAUUACGCGUCUGGGCUUGACACCCAAACACUCGCAUAGAUGUUAGACUCCUUGGUCCGUGUUUCAAGACGGGCCGCUUACAGCCAUUACGCCAGCAUCCUAGCAGAUGCGCGGACCUCAGUCCAGGCUGGUUGCAUGUCGUCUCCCCUAUAAGGCCUCCCCGAAAGGAGGUACGUGACAGAGACCUUUAUCCAACCGCCCAAACUGAUGCUGGCCUGCCUAUAGAAGAGUGCACCAGACAAAAGUCUGGAUAAGCAACUACAGGCAAGUCUGGCUGCAAGCGCUUCCCUUUCAACAAUUUCACGUGCUAUUUGACUCUCUUUCCAAAGUGCUUUUCAUCUUUCGAUCACUCUACUUGUGCGCUAUCGGUCUCUGGCCAGUAUUUAGCUUUAGAAGAAAUUUACCUCCCAUUUAGAGCUGCAUUCCCAAACAACUCGACUCGUCGAAGGGGCUUUACACGGCCAAGGCUAGCGACCACGUACGGGAUUCUCACCCUCUGUGACGUCCUGUUCCAAAGAACUUGGACCGCUGCCAACGCCAAAGCGCCCUCUGCAAAUUACAACUCGGGCUCUAAAAGAGCCAGA
rnacentral:rRNA from 1 species